GCCAUGCUUUUCCACAGCUUUCUUGAACUUCAAUUCUMUGCUGUCUAAAUCUCUUUCCGGAUUAGCACCAUGGAAGCUCAAGAAAGCUGUGGGAGACCAUGGC
rnacentral:pre_miRNA from 1 species